AUGCAUGACAGCAAGCAAGCAGAGCGGCUCCUCCUCCCAUUCGACGCCAAGCAAGCAGAGCGGCUCCUCCUCUCCCUCGACGCCAAGCCAGCCCCUUCUCCAUUGCAGCAGCCCGCCACACUCCUCUCGAGGAGGAGAGGAGAGGAGAAACCCGCGCAGCGCCGUCAUUUCCCGCACGGCCUCGGCACCGUCUCCUCCCCUCCAAGCUCCAUUAAAUCCAAGCUGCUGCUAAGGUCAACGCUCAAAAUUAAGGUCUUUGGGUGGCUUCUUCUCUCUGACCGCUUAAACACACGUAGCAUGCUAAAGAGGAGACACUACAAUAUUGGGGACGAUUACAACUGCCUUCUUUGUGAUCAGCAAAUUGAAGAGACUGUCGAACACAUGAUCUUCCAGUGCCCCUUUAGCCAACGAUGUUGGUCCAUUCUAGGGAUAACUUGGCAGCAAACUGGUUCAAGGCUUCGGUGGAUCAGCAUGGCAGCUCAUGAUUGGAGCAGUCCCAUGUUCAUGGAUGUUUUCCUUCAAGUGGCUUGGAGCAUUUGGAAAGAGAGGAAUAACAAACAUUUCAGAAGCAUCCCACCAACUAUUCUAUCAUGGCUCCAACAAAUCAAACAUGACUUUGUCCUGCUCCAACAUAGAACCAGAGAAGAUAGGAAAACAAGUCGCACAUGCCGUCUAGUCACGAAACUUCAAAACCACGCCGAGCAAUUAUUGGGCAUCCGAAUCUUCAAAGCCUACCGCCCGUCGAGUCAGCCAGAACGUGGCCCCGAUCCCGGCCCUGACAGGUGGACCCCACCUGUCCUCCCCGGAAGCAGUCCGAACCUCACAGAAGCGCCCCAACCGCGAGAGGCCUCCCCGCGCCCGGUCCACCGUGAGCCGGAGGCACCACAGCCGCGAAUCCCACGCGCCCCCAGCUGUCAAUCCCAACGCACUGCGGAAACCGUCGGAACCCCAGAGAAGCACGUGAGAGACCUCCACCAGCCAGUCCCACUAGACCCGGCGCACCGUGGACGCUCGCUCACCGCCGCGAAUCCACCCGGGGUGGGCCCCACGCCGCGUCCACCCGGCUCACGGGCCUCCGCGCGGGCCGGGUCCUUCCGUGGCGGCCACGGGAGCCCGCCUCCGCUAAGCGGAGCUAUAAAUAACGGGCCGGGACGAGGGUUCCUCCCUCAGCCGCACGCUAACUCGUUGCACAAGAAUUCCUCCCACCCUCGCCGUCUCGCCGCCGUCACCACCGCAGCUAGAUAA
rnacentral:rRNA from 1 species